rnacentral:rRNA from 1 species
AGAGUUUGAUCAUGGCUCAGAUUGAACGCUGGCGGCAGGCCUAACACAUGCAAGUCGAGCGGAUGAAGGGAGCUUGCUCCUGGAUUCAGCGGCGGACGGGUGAGUAAUGCCUAGGAAUCUGCCUGGUAGUGGGGGAUAACGUCCGGAAACGGGCGCUAAUACCGCAUACGUCCUGAGGGAGAAAGUGGGGGAUCUUCGGACCUCACGCUAUCAGAUGAGCCUAGGUCGGAUUAGCUAGUUGGUGGGGUAAAGGCCUACCAAGGCGACGAUCCGUAACUGGUCUGAGAGGAUGAUCAGUCACACUGGAACUGAGACACGGUCCAGACUCCUACGGGAGGCAGCAGUGGGGAAUAUUGGACAAUGGGCGAAAGCCUGAUCCAGCCAUGCCGCGUGUGUGAAGAAGGUCUUCGGAUUGUAAAGCACUUUAAGUUGGGAGGAAGGGCAGUAAGUUAAUACCUUGCUGUUUUGACGUUACCAACAGAAUAAGCACCGGCUAACUUCGUGCCAGCAGCCGCGGUAAUACGAAGGGUGCAAGCGUUAAUCGGAAUUACUGGGCGUAAAGCGCGCGUAGGUGGUUCAGCAAGUUGGAUGUGAAAUCCCCGGGCUCAACCUGGGAACUGCAUCCAAAACUACUGAGCUAGAGUACGGUAGAGGGUGGUGGAAUUUCCUGUGUAGCGGUGAAAUGCGUAGAUAUAGGAAGGAACACCAGUGGCGAAGGCGACCACCUGGACUGAUACUGACACUGAGGUGCGAAAGCGUGGGGAGCAAACAGGGUUAGAUACCCUGGUAGUCCACGCCGUAAACGAUGUCGACUAGCCGUUGGGAUCCUUGAGAUCUUAGUGGCGCAGCUAACGCGAUAAGUCGACCGCCUGGGGAGUACGGCCGCAAGGUUAGAACUCAAAUGAAUUGACGGGGGCCCGCACAAGCGGUGGAGCAUGUGGUUUAAUUCGAAGCAACGCGAAGAACCUUACCUGGCCUUGACAUGCUGAGAACUUUCCAGAGAUGGAUUGGUGCCUUCGGGAACUCAGACACAGGUGCUGCAUGGCUGUCGUCAGCUCGUGUCGUGAGAUGUUGGGUUAAGUCCCGUAACGAGCGCAACCCUUGUCCUUAGUUACCAGCACCUCGGGUGGGCACUCUAAGGAGACUGCCGGUGACAAACCGGAGGAAGGUGGGGAUGACGUCAAGUCAUCAUGGCCCUUACGGCCAGGGCUACACACGUGCUACAAUGGUCGGUACAAAGGGUUGCCAAGCCGCGAGGUGGAGCUAAUCCCAUAAAACCGAUCGUAGUCCGGAUCGCAGUCUGCAACUCGACUGCGUGAAGUCGGAAUCGCUAGUAAUCGUGAAUCAGAAUGUCACGGUGAAUACGUUCCCGGGCCUUGUACACACCGCCCGUCACACCAUGGGAGUGGGUUGCUCCAGAAGUAGCUAGUCUAACCGCAAGGGGGACGGUUACCACGGAGUGAUUCAUGACUGGGGUGAAGUCGAAACAAGGUA